UACGGAAGGCAGCAGUGGGGAAUAUUGCACAAUGGGCGAAAGCCUGAUGCAGCUAUGCCGCGUGUAUGAAGAAGGCCUUAGGGUUGUAAAGUACUUUCAUCGGGGAGGAAAAACAAAACUAAUAAUUUUAUUUCUUGACGUUACCCGAAAAAGAAGCACCGGCUAACUCCGUGCCAGCAGCCGCGGUAAUACGGAGGGUGCUAGCGUUAAUCAGAAUUACUGGGCGUAAAGAGCACGUAGGUGGUUUUUUUAAGUCAGAUGUGAAAUCCCUGGGCUUAACCUAGGAACUGCAUUUUGAAACUGAAAUACUAGAGUAUCGUAGAGGGAGGUAGAAUUCUAGGUGUAGCGGUGAAAUGCGUAGAUAUCUGGAGGAAUACCUGUGGCGAAAGCGGCCUCCUAAACGAAUACUGACACUGAGGUGCGAAAGCGUGGGGAGCAAACAGGGAUUAGAUACA
rnacentral:rRNA from 1 species